rnacentral:rRNA from 1 species
UACGUAGGGUGCGAGCGUUGUCCGGAAUUAUUGGGCGUAAAGAGCUCGUAGGCGGUCUGUCGCGUCGGUCGUGAAAACUUGGGGCUUAACCCUGAGCUUGCGGUCGAUACGGGCAUGACUGGAGUUCGGCAGGGGAGACUGGAAUUCCGGGUGUAGCGGUGAAAUGCGUAGAUAUCCGGAGGAACACCGGUGGCGAAGGCGGCUUCCUGGACCGACACUGACGCUGAGGCGCGAAAGCUAGGGGAGCAAACAGG